AAAAGAAAUUUGUAAAAAGGAAAAUAGAAUCUGCUAAUCUCCUCCUCUGGUCUUCCUCGCUUCCUUCUCCGCAUCACUCGCGCUCGAAAUUUCAUACCACUUUUCUCCAUCUCUCCUUCAUUCUUCUCCCCCAUCGUAAGACCUUGAGGAAAAAUAAAAUAAAAAUCUUGGUUCAAUCCUCCGGUUUUACUUCUUAUCGGAAUGUCUUCGUCCGGUGGCAACUCUGGCGACGGAGCUGGCGGUGGCGUCGCCUCCCAUCCCCCUCAGCUCUACUUCUGCUAUACCUGCAAUCGUACGGUAACAAUUACUCCCUCGUCAUCCUCCGAUCUUUUAUGCCCCAACUGCAACGAUAGCUUCGUUGAAGAAAUGGAAAGUCCAAACCCUAACCCUAGCCCUGUUUCCAAUCCUUUCCUCUCCUUCACAUCCGAGGCAUUUCCACCUUUCAGCACCGGUGGCGGUGGAAAUGGCGGUUUCCCUAUCAUAUUCUCUACGACAUCUUCAUCUGGUGGCAUUGGCGGUGGGGGUUCUAUGAUGAAUGAUCUAUCAGCGCUAUUGGGAGGUGGUUCUCUUCGAUCGUCGUCGUCGUUACAAAACCCUGACGGUUUUAAUCCCUUGCUUUUUCUCCAGAACUAUCUUCAAAGCGCUAAUGUUCAAUUGGUAAUCCAAAACGCUUCGGGAGAGGCGUUUCAUCCCCCUUCCAAUUUCAAUCUUGGUGACUACUUCUUUGGCCCCGGCCUUGAGCAGUUGAUUCAACAGCUUGCUGAAAACGAUCCGAACCGUUAUGGAACCCCUCCCGCUUCAAAGUCGGCCAUUGAAGGACUUCCAGAUAUCAAGAUUACGGAGGAAUUGUUGGCUACGGAUUCUUCACAGUGCGCUGUGUGUAAGGAUACGUUUGAGCUUGACGAGGUGGCAAAACUGAUGCCUUGCAAACACAUAUAUCAUGCAGAUUGUAUAAUUCCUUGGUUGGAAUUGCAUAAUUCUUGUCCAGUAUGUCGAUAUGAAUUGCCCACAGAUGAUCCCGAUUACGAGCAAAGAACUCGUGGGUCUUCAGCUCCUAAUCGGAGUCAAAGCGAAAGUCAACCCUUUGGGGAUUCUUCCACUGGUGGGGAAAAUGUUGUCGGAAGCGAUCCUAAUUCUGACGAGAACUCGCAGACUCAACAAAUGGGAGAGCGGAGGGUUAGGAGGAUAGCUUUUCCUUGGCCCUUCAGAGGAUUUGGUUCAGCUGCUGAGACUAGUAAUAGUGGAGGUGGCAACAACAGUGGAAAUAACGACGAACCUAGCUCCAGAAAUAGGGGAAGCCAGGGUUCUUCCGAGCCAAUGCAGGAAGAUCUCGAUUGAUGAUUACUGAACGGUCCCCCCACCCCAGCUUCCUCUAUUCCUUGGUUAGAUUUUGAUAUUGCUGGCAUGAGGAACCUCAAGAACUCGAUAACCUCCUCGAGAAAUUUGUGCAUAAUCACUUUUGCACAAGUCCGAACUGCCAAAUAUUAUAAGGUGUUGCAAGUGAUUUGAAUCUGGAAUCAUUACUGAAUAUAGAAAAACAUCCUUAUAUGUUAAUUAUUAGAGCUUUUUUUUUCCAUUUAUGAAAUUUGACUAUAAUAAUCCAUAGGUAAAGAUCCUAUUUCCAUUUUAGAGUUCAGAAUUCUUUGUAGAUUAAGAAAGUUAUGUGCAUUACUUUGUUUGCAAAGGUCUGUAAUACUUUUGCUUCUCUGGGAACCAUUUCAUAUAUUGAAAUAUUGUCUGCUUCACAUGUGACUUUUCUGCA